UUGAGGUACUAGAACACAUCCAGAGAAGGGCAAAAGAGGUGAUGAAGGUUCCAGAGCACAAGUCAUGAGAGGAGUGGCUGAGGGAACCGGGGUUGUUUAGCCCUGAGGAGGCUCAGGGUUACCUUAUCACUCUCCACAACUGCCUGAAAGGAGGCUGUAGCCAGGCAGGGGUUGGUCUCUUCUGGCAGGCAAUAAUUGACAGGAUAAGAGGAAAUAGCCUCAAGCUGUGCCAGGGAGUUUCAGAUGCUUCAUUCAUCUAGGGAGAAAGGGAAAAGUACGUGCAUGGGCAGAAGUGCUCCUUUGCCAUAUUUACAUGGCAAAGAAUAUCAAAGUGAGGAGUAAUGAGAUGUCUGGUCACAGGAGCUGGAAACAAAUUUCAUCCUGACCCAACUAUGUAUCUGGAAAAGAGAAAAUGCCAAAGAAGACUCAUAGGUGGGAAAGAAUGACAC